AAUAAAAUGCCUGAUUAAAGGAUUAUCUUGAUAGGAUAAAUUAUGUAGUAUUUUACUUUUAUUA
rnacentral:tRNA from 1 species